AAUGCUUGUUGGUGGAAGAAGUGAAGAAAGAGAGUUUAUGGUGGCAGAGAGAUUUAAAGUUGUGGCUUUAAUGGCUUGUGUUAUGUGUUUAUGUAAUGCUGAUAGAGUUGUUAUGUCUGUUGCUAUUGUUCCUUUAGCUGCUAAACAUGGAUGGAGCAGUGCUUUUUUGGGUAUUGUUCAGUCAUCUUUCCUCUGGGGUUACAUAUUUUCAUCGGUGAUUGGAGGAGCGUUAGUUGACAAAUAUGGAGGAAAGAAAGUGAUUGCUUGGGGUGCAGCUCUUUGGUCUCUGGCCACUCUCCUUACUCCAUGGGCAGCAAAUCACUCCACAGUCAGUCUCUUGGCAAUUCGUGCUUUCUUUGGUCUUGCUGAAGGAGUAG
rnacentral:misc_RNA from 1 species